UGCGGAAUAGCUGUAGUGGAAGAG
rnacentral:siRNA from 1 species